rnacentral:rRNA from 1 species
AGCGAACGCUGGCGGCAGGCCUAACACAUGCAAGUCGAACGAACCUUUCGGGGUUAGUGGCGGACGGGUGAGUAACACGUGGGAACGUGCCCUUAGGUUCGGAAUAACUCAGGGAAACUUGUGCUAAUACCGAAUGUGCCCUUCGGGGGAAAGAUUAAUCGCCUUUAGAGCGGCCCGCGUCUGAUUAGCUAGUUGGUUGAGGUAAUGGCUCACCAAGGCGACGAUCAGUAGCUGGUCUGAGAGGAUGAUCAGCCACAUUGGGACUGAGACACGGCCCAAACUCCUACGGGAGGCAGCAGUGGGGAAUCUUGCGCAAUGGGCGAAAGCCUGACGCAGCCAUGCCGCGUGAAUGAUGAAGGUCUUAGGAUUGUAAAAUUCUUUCACCGGGGACGAUAAUGACGGUACCCGGAGAAGAAGCCCCGGCUAACUUCGUG